GAUGAUCUGGAGCUAUAGGGUGAUCUCUAAAGGGAUGUGGGGCUAGAAGGCUCUCCCUUCCUUCCUUUCCCCCCUUCCACAGCAGGGAGGGUGAAAUGCUAGUCAUGAAAUUGAAAUUGGAACUGAAGUUGUCUUGGAAUAGAAUAUGAUGCUUUUGUGGUCUUCAAUCUGAAACGUGUUUUCUCCUUGGGCUUGAGGUAAUCUGUUUAUGUUUAAUGAUUAUGCUUAAUAAUCUAAUCAUGUUUCAUAAUGUCUCUGGAGAAGGUUUCAGUGUGCAGUCUGCUGAUCCGAAAGAAAGAAGGUGGCUUUUGGAGGACUUAAUCAUGGCGAGUCGAGCUGCUGCUGAACCUCCCCUUCCAACAUCCAGCAGGUUUGUUCUGCAGGCCCCGAUGAUGGCACAGGCAUGAAAGAGCCCAGAGCUCGUCGCUGGGGAGAGGCUGCGUAUGGCGUUGUGAAGGGAGAGAUGGAGGAGGGGUUUGAGCAGCGCUGUGCAGGAAUGAACGGCUGGUAAGAGAAGAGGCAGGAGUCGGGCAGCGGUACUGCAGCUCCUCUGGCAGCUUUGCAGCUCAGUUGGGAAGCAGAAGAUGUGGAUGUGAAAGAAGAAGUCCGUUGCUGGGACGUUCCCCUGUUCUUCCCCCAGCUGUCCCCUUGCCUCAGCCUGGAUUCCCCUUGCUGUUCCUGUAGGAUUCCCUUCCAUCCCCCUGGCUGCCCCUUGCUUUCCCCAAGGCUGCCCUUUCCUUUCUCAUGACAGCCCACCCAUCAUUCCCUCAGAGC